rnacentral:rRNA from 1 species
AGCUAAUACCGGAUGUGCCCUUCGGGGGAAAGAUUUAUCGCCAUUGGAGCGGCCCGCGUAGGAUUAGCUAGUUGGUGGGGUAAUGGCCCACCAAGGCUCCGAUCCUUAGCUGGUCUGAGAGGAUGAUCAGCCACACUGGGACUGAGACACGACCCAGACUCCUACGGGAGGCAGCAGUGGGGAAUCUUGCGCAAUGGGCGAAAGCCUGACGCAGCCAUGCCGCGUGAAUGAUGAAGGUCUUAGGAUUGUAAAAUUCUUUCACCGGGGACGAUAAUGACGGUACCCGGAGAAGAAGCCCCGGCUAACUUCGUGCCAGCAGCCGCGGUAAUACGAAGGGGGCUAGCGUUGCUCGGAAUUACUGGGCGUAAAGGGAGCGUAGGCGGACUGUUUAGUCAGAGGUGAAAGCCCAGGGCUCAACCUUGGAAUUGCCUUUGAUACUGGCAGUCUUGAGUACGGAAGAGGUAUGUGGAACUCCGAGUGUAGAGGUGAAAU